UCUGAUUGGCUGACGGCCGAUGCAGUCCCAUGGCUGCAUCCCUGCCCAGUCAUGUGACAUCCAAUGAUUAGGACCCAAUUAAUUAUUUUCAAAUGACUGUAUAUCAGUAUAGCAGUAAGGUUGCCCAUUACCAUCAGUAAGUUUGCCCAUUACCAUCAGUAAGGUUGCCCAUUACCAUCAGUAAGUUUGCCCAUUACCAACAGUACUGCAGUAAGGUUGCCCAUUACCAUCAGUAAGGUUGCCCAUUACCAACAGUACUAGAGUAAGGUUGCCCAUUACCAUCAGUACUAGAGUAAGGUUGCCCAUUACCACCAGUAAGGUUGCCCAUUACCACCAGUAAGGUUGCCCAUUACCACCAGUAAGGUUGCCCAUUACCAACAGUAAGGUUGCCCAUUACCAUCAGUAAGGUUGCCCAUUACCAUCAGUAAGGUUGCCCAUUACCAACAGUAAGGUUGCCCAUUACCAACAGUAAGGUUGCCCAUUACCAUCAGUACAGCAGUAAGGUUGCCCAUUACCAACAGUAAAGCAGUAAGGUUGCCCAUUACCAUCAGUACUAGAGUAAGGUUGCCCAUUACCAUCAGUACUAGAGUAAGGUUGCCCAUUACCAUCAGUACUAGAGUAAGGUUGCCCAUUACCAUCAGUACUAGAGUAAGGUUGCCCAUUACCAUCAGUAAGGUUGCCCAUUACCAUCAGUAAGGUUGCCCAUUACCAUCAGUAAGGUUGCCCAUUACCAUCAGUAAGGUUGCCCAUUACCACCAGUAAGGUUGCCCAUUACCACCAGUAAGGUUGCCCAUUACCACCAGUAAGGUUGCCCAUUACCAACAGUAAGGUUGCCCAUUACCAUCAGUAAGGUUGCCCAUUACCAUCAGUAAGGUUGCCCAUUACCAACAGUAAGGUUGCCCAUUACCAUCAGUAAGGUUGCCCAUUACCAUCAGUAAGGUUGCCCAUUACCAACAGUACAGCAGUAAGGUUGCCCAUUACCAACAGUAAGGUUGCCCAUUACCAUCAGUAAAGUUGCCCAUUACCACCAGUAAGGUUGCCCAUUACCACCAGUAAGGUUGCCCAUUACCAACAGUAAGGUUGCCCAUUACCAACAGUAAGGUUGCCCAUUACCAACAGUACAGCAGUAAGGUUGCCCAUUACCAACAGUAAGGUUGCCCAUUACCAACAGUACAGCAGUAAGGUUGCCCAUUACCACCAGUAAAGUUGCCCAUUACCACCAGUAAGGUUGCCCAUUACCACCAGUAAGGUUGCCCAUUACCAACAGUAAGGUUGCCCAUUACCAACAGUAAGGUUGCCCAUUACCACCAGUAAGGUUGCCCAUUACCACCAGUAAGGUUGCCCAUUACCAUAGAGUAAGGUUGCCCAUUACCAACAGUACUGCAGUAAGGUUGCCCAUUACCAACAGUACUGCAGUAAGGUUGCCCAUUACCAACAGUACUGCAGUAAGGUUGCCCAUUACCAACAGUACUGCAGUAAGGUUGCCCAUUACCAUCAGUAAGGUUGCCCAUUACCACCAGUAAGGUUGCCCAUUACCACCAGUAAGGUUGCCCAUUACCAUCAGUACUGCAGUAAGGUUGCCCCUUAUAUUACCAUCAGUACUGCAGUAAGGUUGCCCCUUAUAUUACCAUAAGUACAGCAGUAAGGUUGCCCCUUAUAUUACCAUAAGUACUGCAGUAAGGUUGCCCCUUAUAUUACCAUCAGUACUGCAGUAAGGUUGCCCCUUAUAUUACCAUAAGUACAGCAGUAAGGUUGCCCCUUAUAUUACCAUCAGUACUGCAGUAAGGUUGCCCAUUACCAUCAGUACUGCAGUAAGGUUGCCCCUUAUAUUACCAUCAGUACUGCAGUAAGGUUGCCCAUUACCAUCAGUACUGCAGUAAGGUUGCCCCUUAUAUUACCAUAAGUACUGGAGUAUAGAGGGCAUCAAACGAAGCAGAGACUAAGAGGGGAUUUUAAAUGAAGUCGGUAGUGGAGCGAUAGUUAAAUGUAACAUCUUAGAAAAUGACACACUAAAAUGGUUGUUUCAACUUUGAAGACACUUAAAAGACAGUUAAUGUGAAAUGGAGCUCAGUGUGAUAUUUUACCAAACUAACAGCUGCUGCCCAAACAGUUGAACUGACUAGACACAUUGCAGUAAAGAAUGACUUGUCAACACCAGUGGUUAGCAUCACAAUCACAGAGGGAGAAUGACACAUAUAUAUAUAUAUAUAUAUAUAUAUAUUCAUAUUCAGUGGUUCACUGGUAAUACAUGAGACAUACAGCAUUGAGCUAAGGCUUGAAAUGACUCCGUUUGUAAUAACACUACAACAUGAUACUAGAGUAACCUGCAAUGAGGAACAACAGCUGAGAAACUAGGCAGUUCGUUGGAAAAAGGUUGACAUCAAAUUCC